AGAGUUUGAUCCUGGCUCAGAAUCAACGCUGGCGGCGUGCCUAACACAUGCAAGUCGAACGCGAAAGCCCCGCAAGGGGUCAGUAGAGUGGCAAACGGGUGAGUAACACGUGGGUGACCUGCCUCAGAGUGGGGGAUAACGACCCGAAAGGGUCGCUAAUACCGCAUAACAUCCUGCUUUUGGAUAAGCGGAGAUCAAAGCCGGGGAUCGCAAGACCUGGCGCUUAGAGAGGGGCCCGCGGCCGAUUAGCUAGUUGGUGAGGUAACGGCUCACCAAGGCAACGAUCGGUAUCCGGCCUGAGAGGGCGGACGGACACACUGGGACUGAGACACGGCCCAGACUCCUACGGGAGGCAGCAGUGGGGAAUUGUUCGCAAUGGGCGCAAGCCUGACGACGCAACGCCGCGUGGAGGACGAAGAUCUUCGGGUCGUAAACUCCUUUCGAUCGGGAAGAACGCCUUCGGGGUGAAUACCCUCGAAGGGUGACGGUACCGAGAGAAGAAGCCCCGGCUAACUCCGUGCCAGCAGCCGCGGUAAUACGGGGGGGGCAAGCGUUGUUCGGAAUUACUGGGCGUAAAGGGCGUGUAGGCGGCCAACUAAGUCCGACGUGAAAUCCCCAGGCUUAACCUGGGAACUGCGUCGGAUACUGGAUGGCUUGAAUUCGGGAGAGGGAUGCAGAAUUCCAGGUGUAGCGGUGAAAUGCGUAGAUAUCUGGAGGAAUACCGGUGGCGAAGGCGGCAUCCUGGACCGACAUUGACGCUGAAGCGCGAAAGCUAGGGGAGCAAACGGGAUUAGAUACCCCGGUAGUCCUAGCCCUAAACGAUGAAUGCUUGGUGUGGCGGGUAUCGAUCCCUGCCGUGCCGAAGCUAACGCAUUAAGCAUUCCGCCUGGGGAGUACGGUCGCAAGGCUGAAACUCAAAUGAAUUGACGGGGGCCCGCACAAGCGGUGGAGCAUGUGGUUUAAUUCGAUGCAACGCGAAGAACCUUACCUGGUCUUGACAUCCACGGAAGUUUUCAGAGAUGAGAAUGUGCCUUCGGGAACCGUGAGACAGGUGCUGCAUGGCUGUCGUCAGCUCGUGUUGUGAAAUGUUGGGUUAAGUCCCGCAACGAGCGCAACCCUUAUCCUUUGUUGCCAGCGGUCCGGCCGGGAACUCAAAGGAGACUGCCAGUGAUAAACUGGAGGAAGGUGGGGAUGACGUCAAGUCAUCAUGGCCCUUACGACCAGGGCUACACACGUGCUACAAUGGCGCAUACAAAGAGAAGCGACCUCGCGAGAGCAAGCGGACCUCAUAAAGUGCGUCGUAGUCCGGAUUGGAGUCUGCAACUCGACUCCAUGAAGUCGGAAUCGCUAGUAAUCGUGGAUCAGAAUGCCACGGUGAAUACGUUCCCGGGCCUUGUACACACCGCCCGUCACACCAUGGGAGUGGGUUGCAAAAGAAGUAGGUAGCUUAACCUUCGGGAGGGCGCUUACCACUUUGUGAUUCAUGACUGGGGUGAAGUCGUAACAAGGUAGCCG
rnacentral:rRNA from 1 species